GGCUGGGUAAUCCUAGCCCCACGCAGCUGUGGUGGGGUAUCCUGGCACUGCUCACAUCCCCCUGCGUGGCCAAAAAGAGUGGUUUUACCGGGGAGGAGAGGGUUCUGUGUCUGCUUGAUGCCUUGGAGGGGCUACCUAGAACAGAGGCUAGACAAGAUUAAGAGAAUGCAGUGGGUGUUUAUUGAAGGCCUUCAACAGCCACACCUUGGGCAGUGCAAAAUGCUCACAGAGGCUACGCCCAAGAUGGACAAUGGGCACCAGUUUUUCAGACAAUUACGAUUUUAGUCCAUUUACAUAUCAGUGAAUGCUAUUUGCAUGAAAAUGGGACCUUUUGUUUCUGAAGAACUGAUCCAUCCCUGCUACUUAUUCCUCAUUUGGACACUGACCAUAGGAGCCUGAGUCUGCCCAGUGAGUGCAAUUAACUCGGAUCCUCUGGACUGUAAUCCUCUGGGAUACUGGGCUCACUUCCACAGCAUCUGAGUGUGACAGAAAGGGUUUCUCACUUCAGGUGGAUUAAGUAUGCAGCAGAGGCUGAGCGAACGUGGCUGUAAUGGAGAGUGGGGUGCAGUAAUACCACAAGUCUGUGUUUGAAACCCCACUCCUUCCCUGGGGGCUGAGAAUCCUGGAGCUGCAGGCGCCUGAUCUGCUGUCCCUUUGUUCCAGUGGGCCACCUGCAAUGCGGCUCCAUGGCUGGUUUGUCACUUGCAAUUGGCUUGUGGUGCUGCUGCUUCAUCUUGUUUGAUUGGGGAAACUUGCCUGAUGGUUCUUUGUGCUGUCUUCAUUAACCCUCAAAACAUCACCAGAUCUCCAGGUGUCCUUGAGCUGGCCAGAAAAGUCCUUCCUUCUUCUUGGCUCCCUGACAGAAAGACAGCUUUGUUGUUUUGAUAUUUUGUGUACAACAAAAAAAAAUAUUUUGUAUCCUGAGCAAUUUUGCCAAAACUUUGAUAAGAGAGAUUGUUAUCUAUGUGGUUCUCUUUGCAUCUGUGUUUUAAGCACAUUAGGUGGGAGCUGGAUUGUAAACCUGUAAUGUGACUAGGGAGAAUGUUAGGAAUAAAAUUCUUGAGCACAUGCAGUGGAGUUCUAGAAAAACAAAUGCUUCAUCUAAUGCAAACAAAAUAGUUUUCAGUAUGGGAGUCUGGCUGCUGUGGUGUUCAAGUUAAACAAUCUGAUAGCCUGAGAGUUAGAAUGGGUGUAUUUACCCACAGGAUUGGAUUUUUGAUUGGCAAAAAGUGGGAGAGAGAUUUGGGACAUCUUCUAAAGAUGUUUUGUGACAGGUGUAUGUGGGCAUCCCAAGGCAAAUGACACAGGCUAAUUUGAGAGAGCAAUAACCCAUAAUAGCGUAGAGCAUAAAAAAUAUCUGAAUGGUGUGAUUAUGUGCAGAAAUGAAAGCUGGGAUAAGAGUCAGUGAUACUGCUUGGUUCGUGCCCAGUUGCUCCAGACCAAGGUAACAUAUUAUUCCAGCCUCAGUAUUUUGUGUUCCAAAGGAACAGAUUAAAGAUCUCGCUGUUGCUACUGA